GAUUAUUGCCAAUUAAACUUGAGCGUGUUGUUUGGGAAGGAUGCAAUGCUCAGAGCGCAUAUGUAUAUUGUUGGGUAACAAAGGACUUGCCCGAGCUGUCUGUCCAUAGAUAUACUAGUUUGACAAGCCACACGGGACGGGACGUAACAAUCCAUCUGACAGCUUAGUCUUUAAUAAAAGUGAACUUGCACGGCUCGGUGGAUGUGAUCCUUUGUGCAACCAUGUCAUCAUUUCGCUGGGUUCGACCCCUUCAGCUCACGUUAGCGUUGAUUAAACCUGAUGCUGUAGCCAAUCCAGUCAUUUCUGAGGCGGUACAUCAAAAGAUUUUAGAAAAUAACUUUCUGAUCAUAAGACAUAAAGAGCUUCAUUGGAGAUCCACAGAUUCUCAGAGGUUUUAUUGUGAGCACAAGGGACGAUUUUUCUAUCAACGACUAGUUGAGUUUAUGUCAAGUGGACCCAUGCAGGCAUAUAUUCUGGCACAUGAGGAUGCUGUCCAGUUAUGGAGGAACUUAAUGGGUCCAACCAAAGUGUUCAGAGCACGAAUUGUGGCUCCUGGGACUGUGCGGGGAGAUCUGGGACUAACUGACACCCGUAAUACCACACAUGGUUCUGGUGUACAUGUGCAGUAGAUUGAAAAGUUGAACAUUAACCAAAAGCUGGCUUUCUCACCUUUCACCCUACGCAUGCAUUUGCCUGGACGCAAUAAAGAAAGAAAAAGCAGAAGAAAAUGAUGGCUCUGUGGUACUUUCUACAAAGAACUUUAGGUUGGUGCAGUUUUCUGCUAAAAGGAGCAGUGGCCCAUGGUAUCUGAUUCUGUUGAAUCAGCUUGCCGUGAAAUCACAUUUUUUUUCCCUGAGUUCAACACUAGCGAUUGGUAUGAGAAGCAAGAACCUCGCUACAGAACAGGGCCAGUGUUCUAUGAUGAAGAACGGUCAGAACACCGACUUGAAGGGGAGUGAAGGGACCUAAAAGGCAAACUGUGUGUUUAUGUCUGCAGCUUCAUGUCACAUAAAAGACUAUGGGUUUUAACAUGAAGAAGGCUGUGUAUCUACACCAGACAAAAUUAGGAAGUGGUUACUGCUGUACACAUUUUUGCUGCAGCAAGGGACAAUGGGCACUAUAUUAUUGUUAUGGAAGAUUUUAAGUUUGACGUCAUUCUCUCAGCUCAGUGUGGCGCUGACUACUCUGUUUUAGCUCAAUACAAAACAUUUUAAUAAAAUAAAUAUACUAACGUUUUCUUUUGGCAACGUUAAUGUGAAGCUGACAAGCUGAGCACAGAAGGGUCGCAUGUGGCCUCCAAGAUCCUUGUUGGGCAUCGCUGCCUUAU